ensembl:antisense Tmcc3os transmembrane and coiled coil domains 3, opposite strand
AGUGCAGGCUGAGGCCCGCCAGAGUCUUACAGUCUCUCAAAUGAAGUGGGAAUGUGGAUUAGAAACAAGAAGACCUUAAACAUUAGCAACUAUAUAAAAAAAUUUUUUAAAGCAAUUGCUGGCCACUUUGUACCUAUUAUGAUGGCUACCAUCAAAAAAUGAAAAGAAGUAGAAGCUGGAACGUGCUGGCAAGGGUGAGGGAAAAUUGGAAUCCUGCGCUCGGCUGGUGGGAAUAUAACAGGAGGCAAGCCAAUCUGAGAAACUGCGUGCCAGAUUCUCCAAAGACUAAGAAGAAUGGAGUGUGACUUAGCGACUUCAGCUCUGGGGAUGGAGCCCCGUGUUUCUGAAAGCAGCGAGGAUUUAUUUGCAUGCCUGUGUUCAUAACAGGAUUAGUCACAGGAGGUGUAAAUACAGAAGCAGCCCCCAUCUCUACUGCCAGACAAACAGGCAGAGACGUUUCCACUGUCACCUCAGUGUUCUAGAACAAAGGCUGAGGAAAAGGCUAAGCGCUGGACAGACGUCAAAACCCUACCCUGAGUUAUCUCUGCAUCCAAUCCGGACUCCUGCACGGUGUCCCAAGAGACAUGGCUGCAUUCAUGUGGGCACCAGCUCAGAAGACCUGAUGCCUGCACUCUCUGGAAGACAGCCCGUCCCUCCCCACAUGCCCCAAACAAGUAAUCUUGAGGAUCCUCAUUCAAAAGGACGUUUUAUUAGGGAACUACCUUCAUCCCAUGUUAGUUUCCAAUUGGCUUGGACAAGUUGGAACAUUUCUUCUGACUGUCUCCAUCUGACGUCAGAGUAAGCAAAACUGGCUCUGCACCACGCUGUCACUAACACAUUUCCUGCUGGCACCCCACUCCCUCCCUUAAAAUCCCAGGACAGGGGCCCUCUGGAGUGUCAGAAGUUGCACUGCCUCGCUGCCUGGAAGGAAGGACCGGUCACUCUGAAAUGUAACUGGAGAGCACACACCUUAGACAGCCCUGUCCUUUCUCCAUCGACUCCACAGAUUAAUACUGUGGAGGAGAUGUGUGAGGCGGUGUUUAAGGCUCUCAAAGCAAAUUCUUCAAGCAUCCUCAAGCACUUACAAACACUUGAUACCAUAAUUACAAAUAAUUCUCUUCUCAUUAAGGCGCUACCAGCCUGCACUGCUAAUCUACUUUGAAUUACAUGCACUGGAAGACACACGUUUCUUCAAAAAAAAAAAUAGCUUAUAACUCACACUUCGAAUCCACACAAGCUAAUCCCUGAUGAAAUUCAUCUGUCCUGAUAAAGAUUUACUGCGUGCUAAACAUAUAGAUGAAUGGUGUUGAAGUGAGGAAGAUGGCCGACCUGCCCCUAGGAGGGUAAGCAGGGAGAUUGGUGGUGAGGAAGACGGGAGCACUGACUUCCAGUGAGGAACUGCCCAGACCUGCGGUGGAGCCUGCAGAGGCUCACAGGCAACACCCACAGAGAGUGUUUCUAGGAAGUCUCCAGACACCCAUGCACCUUGAACUCAAGCAGGCCCGAGAAGGGAACAGAGUACCUAGUAACUCGGUGCCUUCCUGAGGGAAGUUCCUCUCAGGUUCCUCUCAGGAGGUGGUGGACAGUCAGUUCCUACAAGAGGAAGCUGAAGGCCACACUGGGCACUAAACACAUGGCAGGUGAGGACGGAAGUUUCAGUCCCUGACUCAGACCGAAGGGAUGGAAUGAAUGAGAGGCCCUGGGGUGUCUGGGGCCUUUCCCACUGUGCCUGUGCAUGCUCACUAGACUGUGGCUGGCAGGAGGGGAGGCCAGCGAGCAAGGGAAGGUGGGAAAACCAUGUUCCACUCCUAGAGAGACGCCCUCUAGGAAGAGCCAGGGAAGCAGCUAUAGAAAGUUUGGGGAAACAAGUCUUUACGGCCCUUAGCCGAAGAGCAAGAGCGACAAGGCCCAUCCUGGGGGUAGAAGUAUUGCCUUCGGUUAGGAAAGGCGCCCUGUUGACCCCCAAGCACACGAGGUGAGAGCUUUCGGGAGUGAUCUGUGCUGCCCUCUGUCCUUCAGCCCUGAGCACCUCAACCUUAAGGCCUGUGCAGGGUCUUCACACCUCAGACACACCACACAGCACAGCCAGCCAGCCCGUGAGAUCAGGAGCACAGUCACAGACAACCACAGGAAUAGGGCCGGGGGUGGGUGGGAUCCAAACCUAUCCCAUCCUCACAGUUCCAGACGUAGCUGUCACCAGCUCUACUGUAUGGAUCUGAACAUGGGAGGCCAUCAGACCGCUGUGUUUGCAGCUCCAAGUCACAGAGCUGAGAUCUCUACCAAUGUCUAGGUUUUAGCCUUCAUUGCAUUCUAGGUAUCUGAUGAGCACCCUGCCCUGAAUGCUCCUCACACUUUUCUGUUUCCGAGUUGGCUCCCCAGCCUAGCACCGCCUCCCAUGCCUCCAUCCCAAGUCACCAACUCACCUUUCAAGGCCUAUCGCUGGACUCUUCCAAGGAGCCUUCCAAGGUGCCUCGCCCACACCCAUCACCAGCUGGAACUAAUCAUGUCCUUUGUUACAAUGUUGAUUCUGCCCCGAACUGCGAGUAUUUGUGUAACAUUUGCUUGCUCGCCAUUUGGAAGCCUCCCCGGAGAAGGAUCAUCUAAUGAGCCACCUGUCUGCCCACCGGUUCCUCAAUCGGACCUCUGUGUUUGCUGAAUGAAUCAGUGGCUGACAAACAGCCAACUGGGGCAGCCAGUCGGUCCUCUUGUUUACAACUUGUUCAGCUGUUCGCAAUAACACCAAGAAGAACCUGUGACUGAGGGACGUGGCGUGGCUGUGGAGACAACAUGGCUUUCAAGCCAUACUGGAGAAUGGCUAGCGCUCAGAUAGCAAGGAAACCAGCAGCCUUCAAACAGCAUAUAGGUGGUCAACUACCAAGUGACAUUUUAAAAAUAAAAUUUUAAGACUUAAUUU